rfam:Xenorhabdus khoisanae strain MCB contig087, whole genome shotgun sequence.
GCGAGGGUGGCGGAAUUGGUAGACGCGCUAGCUUCAGGUGUUAGUGUUCUUACGGACGUGGGGGUUCAAGUCCCCCCCUUCGCA